rnacentral:rRNA from 1 species
UACGUAGGCAGCAAGCGUUGUUCGGAGUUACUGGGCGUAAAGAGUGCGUAGGCGGUCCUGUAAGUUUGGUGUGAAAUCUCCCGGCUCAACUGGGAGGGUGCGCCGAAGACUGCAGGGCUUGAGUAUGGGAGAGGUAAGCGGAAUUCCUGGUGUAGCGGUGAAAUGCGUAGAUAUCGUAAGGAAGACCAGUGGCGAAGGCGGGUCUCUGGACAGUUCCUGACGCUGAGGCACGAAGGCCAGGGGAGCAAACGGGAGUUAGAAAACCCCAGUUA